rnacentral:tRNA from 1 species
GGCGGCAUAGCCAAGUGGUAAGGCAAUGGUCUGCAAAACCGUGAUCCCCGGUUCAAAUCCGGGUGCCGCCUCCA